CGUCGGUGCGCAGUAGUCUUCUCGCUCGCUAGGCCGGUGCCGUCGAUUAUUUCUAAGUGCUUCCUUUUUUGUGUGAUUUUUAAUUUACAAUGGCUGAUCAAGAUCAGGAAAUGGGAAAUGGAGAUGGUCAGCAAGAACAAACUGACUACAUGAACGGUGGUGAAGGCGGAAAUGGCGAAGCCACGGACGCAUCCUCUGGAAAGGAUGACGAUAGAAAAUUAUUUGUUGGUGGUCUCAGCUGGGAAACCUCAGACAAGGAACUCCGAGAACACUUCAGCAAGUAUGGUGAAAUCGAAAAUAUCAAUGUGAAAGUAGACCCUAACACCGGAAGGUCGAGAGGCUUUGCAUUUAUUGUAUUUAAGGAUGUAGCUGUAAUAGAUAAGGUAAUCGCAGCUGGAGACCAUGUCAUCAAUGGGAAGAAAAUCGAUCCCAAGAAAGCCAAAGCUAAGCUGGGUAAAAUCUUUGUUGGUGGCCUAUCCACAGACUUGACAGAUGAUGACAUCAAAAACUACUUCGCUCAAUAUGGAACUAUCGUUGAAACAGAAAUGCCAUUUGACAAAAUCAAGAACCAAAGGAAGGGCUUCUGCUUUAUCACAUUCGAGUCUGAACAAGUAGUCACAGAAUUAUUGAAGAAUGCCAAGCAGUCAAUAAAUGGCAAAGAAGUGGACGUCAAGCGAGCAACGCCUAAACCAGACGGCUUUGGUGGACGAGGCCGAGGUAGAGGAGGUGGCCGAGGCCGUGGUGGUCGAGGUGGAAAGAUGGCAGGAUAUGGUGCUGGUGGCUAUGCUAGUAGUUACCCCAGUUAUGGCUAUGGUGCUGGUUACGAUUACUAUGGCACAGCCUAUGGCGGUGGCUAUGGAACCGGCUAUGACUCAUAUGGCUAUGGUGGCUACGGCGGCUAUGGUGACUACGGAUAUGGUUACGACAGUGGCUAUGCUGUAGGAGCUGGUGGUGGCGGCGGCCGAGGUCGUGGCAAAGGGGGUUAUGGCGGUGGCAAGACAAGGGGAGGAGGGCGUGGUUCUAGACACGCUCCUUAUUAAAUCAAUCUCACUUUAAAUUCAUCUUCUUAAUAUGUGUAUCCUCAUUUUAAUUUUCUCUUUGAUGAGGCCGUCAUCCCUACAAAUCCUAGCACGGGUCAACCCCGAUGAAAGAUUGAUCAGUCACUUGCCUCAUCAAUCGCUCAUUCCAUGUAAAAUUGAAAAGUAGGAAAGUAAAAUACAUCGGAGCCGUGACCUAGGAGGUCUGGAAUGGUCUCAACGCCUAAUGAAGGAGUGAACCUCUAUCUCAAACAAAUCAAUGUACAGUUAAACUAUUAUUGAUAAAGAUGUAAAAAGAAUUUUUUAAGUUUUGAAUCAAGUCAUAACCCUCAACAUGAUUCUGUGUGAAGUGUUUUAAUGUGGACAGAUGUGUACAAUUCUCCCCUCCAUAUUUUGCUUUACAAACUUUUUAUCUCAUAAGUUAAUAUUUAAUAGGUUUUAUUUAUUAACUUAUUUUUUUUUCUAUUUUUUAUCUUGUAUGUAUCGUGUUGUAUUGGUUAUGUCAGUUGAUGAAAGCAAUCAACACCAGAAUAAACAAUUAAUUAGUGUAA